GCGUCCGAAGGCACGCGCCGCAGGCCCGCAAAAGAAGGCAACCUAGGGUUUCUAAGGGUGUCGAAAUCUCCUGCGAAGAAAACGAGAUUCCUCUAUCGUUUCUAGAUCCAGAAAAUAACGAUCCGUUUCAAAACCGUGGGAGGAGAAGCAUAAUGAGGAGUUAGAUCGGCUCAGUUCUCUCCUACGCGUCAGGGUACACAUUAAAACAUUAUGCACGAGGAAUACUUGGAAUCUUGCGGUCUUGUUGCAAAUGUCGAUCAAAAUUCUAGGGCUAAGAUAUGGAGAGGUAGACCCCCAGAUUUUAUUGGUGGCACCCUUCAAUCGGAUGCAUAUUUAAAGCUCAGAGUCCGAUCCCUAUGCACCAAUUUUUCAAGUAGCAAGAAUUUGCAGAUUGUCAAGCAUUCCAAAGUCUUGGCUGUGCCCCUUUUAUGUCAUGUAAAGGAGGGAUUUAGGGAGAGGUCAAUGGGACAUGAUCACAGACCCAGUUAUUGUUGGGAAGGUUUCUGGAGUCGUUCUGUUGUGCAGAUGCUUACUUGAUGCAUCCAACUUGUCAAAGCGCAUGAGACUAAUGUUUGUGGUGUGCAUUGCAGGUUGGUCAUGAUCAUUUUGUGUAUGAAAUUAUUCUAGCCUUGAAGUCCCUAAAAUAUGUAAUCAAGUCGCUUGAGCCUUUUUUUUUUAUACACAUCCAUGCUUGACAGUCAUAUUAAAGCACUUAAAGCUUUCACUGAGGUCCUAUUUGCCAUUGAUUUUAUUUCUUGUCUUUUAUUUUCUAUUUUUAAAAGUCACUUU